CGUGUUUGUUACGCCGGACUGGGCAGGUCAGGACAGGACCCAGUCCCAGUCCGGUGUUUGGCAAGUGAAAAUGGGAGGGGGACAGGUUUGUCCCGUAGAUCAAUUUAUCCCAAAUGAGGGGGAUAAAUCUGACCCAUCUGGAGACUGGGUCACUUUUGUCCCACCGAGCUCUCUUCGAAGCAUCUCUGGCCGCCCCCUUCGAAGCAUCGUCGAUCUCGCAUCACCAUCCCCUUCGAAGCAUCGUCGAUCUCGCAUCACCAUCCCCUUCGAAGCAUCUGGCCGGGCUUGAUUUGAUAUUAAGGAGGAAGAAGCUUGAUUUUGGAGGCAAACUACCCUUCGAAGCAUUUCUGGCCGGUGAGUUUAUCUUCUGCUGCAUCCUUCCUCUGUUUCAUCGAUCUGCCAUCAUCACCUGGUUAUUUAAAGCUUGCAUGUGCACUGUACUUUUCAGAAUUAAAUUAUACUCCCAUUUUGAUUAAAAGGAAGCAGCAGUAUAGCUCAAAGGAUUACGCAGAGGUUGGCGUGUUGACAAUUUUAAGCAGCAGUAUAGCAGAAACAUCACGCAGAGGUUGGCGUGUUGACAAUUUUAAGCAGCAGUAUAGCAGAAACAUCACUCAGAGGUUGGCGUGUUGACAAUUUUAGAUGAGAUUUAUUUGUUUUUUCUUUUUUUGUUUUUUCAGCUCAUCAAAAUCAACUGUCCUGGUUUGACAUGAACAAAGUAUCAAUCAUGUUUGCAUUUUUUUUUUUUAAUGCUCCAAGUUUGAAAAGCAUAUAUGCGUUUAGGUUCAAUGGCUGGUGUUUUUCUUAGAUGUUUAGACAAUUAUUAGAUUGUGUAGAAUUUCUGGCAAUAAAAGCUAGGCAGUUGGAUCUAGGAAUUUAUAUUCAAGUUUUCUCUCUAAUUGGGUCUUGUUUUACUUAAAGUUGUUUGGUUAAGUUUGAUACAAAAAAUUGUUUGGAGAGAAUUCUGAGAAAUAAUUGUUAUAGAUAGAUGAUGUGCCUAAAGUGGGAACUGUAAACAUCAUAUGUAUGUAUGUGUGUGCCUUACAAAAAUGAUGGCCCAUAUCAAAUUGAAGAAAUGUCUGCAUUUGAUGGUAGAGGCUAUGGGUUGCUUUCAGAGUUCUUGGUCCAGCCCAAUUAUUUUAUGUAUAUAAAUUCAAAUUCAUAAUUAGGUGAAAAUGAAGCCAACAUAUUUAUCUAUAAAAAAAAAUGACCGGUAAUAUGUGGACAACUUCUUCUAUUUCUGCUUUACAUAGUGACCUGAAGUAUUUGAUUAAAAUAGUUUGAUUUUGCCGGAAUGUAAUUGUUUUUUUUUUUUUGGCUUUAAGAAAUUGGUGUUUCCAAUGCUAUCAUGUUCUCUAAAUCAGUUUCUGAAUUUUGAUUGCACAGGGAA